GUGUGUGUGUGUGUGUGUGUGUGUGUGUGCGUGUGCGCGUAGUUUCGUUUCCCCCGAAAACACGUGAGGGCGGCUCCUUGACUUCCUCAUCUUACGGUCCGUCGUAGCGAGCAGCCCUUCCUCCGCUUUUUAAACCUUUCACCUGAUUAACUUGAUUUAUUAACACUUUAACCUCAGUUUUUCCCCUUACAUUUACACUUUUACAACUUCAUACCGUAUGGACGCAUUUUAAUCCCGGAGUAGAUAAGGUCUCCAGUCUACUAUGGAUGAGGAGAGAGAGGAUGGGGAUGGGGGUCCUACCUCUAAGACCACUCUGUCUGGGGAAAAUGGCCGCCGGAGCAAAGCUAAGAGUCCAAGACAUGCUGCCCACCAGCUUUCAAAGUCCAAUGCUGCCACUGGUGGAUUUGUAUCAAUUCACAUAAUGAUCCCAUCCUGCGAUGUUGUAGUUCAUCAAAACACCCUGAAACAACUUGAGUGUCACAUACUUAUGCCCCAAUAGGCCACUAUCAGUGCAAGCAGGCCAAUGGCAACCAAGCACGCAGUCCUUCCUCCCUCACUUUAAAAACUGCCUCUGCUACACACACACACACACACACACACACACACACACACACACACACACAGAGAGGCACCCCCACACCGACCAGAAGCGGAAGGGGGGUUGUGGCCCCCACCCUUGCAACCCAGACCGGAAACGGAAGUCCCCUCAAAUACCACUAUAUAUAUACCCCUAUAUAUAUAGUGCGGGUCAUUAUUAACUACUGUUAACUACAGCUCAGCACUGAUACAUCAUGACUCCAUCAUGACUCUGAGUAACAGCUGUGUGUGUGUGUGUGUGUGUGUGUGUGUGUGU